rnacentral:tRNA from 1 species
GCCUUUGUGGUGUAAUGGUCAGUGCGCUCGACUCGGACUCGAGAGGUUCGUGGUUCGAAUCCCGGAGAGGACA